rnacentral:rRNA from 1 species
UACGGGGGAGCAAGCGUUGUUCGGAUUUACUGGGCGUAAAGGGCGCGUAGGCGGCCACUGCAAGUCGGUUGUGAAAUCUCCGGGCUUAACCCGGAAAGGUCAAUCGAUACUGCAGGGCUAGAGUGCAGAAGGGGCAACCGGAAUUCUCGGUGUAGCGGUGAAAUGCGUAGAUAUCGAGAGGAACACCUGCGGCGAAGGCGGGUUGCUGGGCUGACACUGACGCUGAGGCGCGAAAGCUAGGGGAGCGAACGGG